AAAAUGUAAAUCAAAGUGUGAGCAUUCACUUCAUUCUUGUCCAUAAUGGACAACAGUGUAAAACACCCAUUGAUGUAGAAUAAAAGGAAAUCACACAGGGCAGGAAUACCAUCACAUGCAGACACUGUGGAAAUCAGUAUGGUGAAUCUUAACCAAACUCACGUUACAGUUUCCACAUGAUCUGCUCUUGGGCUUCUACUCAAGGAUAUGGAGGUUGUUGAACAACAUAUUCAUUGUGUCACUAUUCGCCAUAUCCAAGAAACAACCCAACCCAGAUGCUCCAUGCUGUCUACAGAGAAAGGAGUGACACUGGACAUCAUCAUGUGGAGCAAAGUCAGCCAGUUCAGAGGAACAGAGUCACAGGCCCGACUGUGGGUAAAUGCAUAAAAAGAUGUAGCCUAUUUGCAUCCCAAAAUACAACU